AUUGAACGCUGGCGGCAGGCCUAACACAUGCAAGUCGAACGAGUGGCGGACGGGUGAGGAAUGUCUGGGAAACUGCCCUGUGGAGGGGGAUAACUACUGGAAACGGUCGCUAAUACCGCAUACCAUCGGAUGUGCCCAUAUGGGAUUAGCUAGUUGGGGGGGUAAAGGCGCACCUAGGCGACGAUCCCUAGCUGGUCUGAGAGGAUGACCAGCCACACUGGAACUGAGACACGGUCCAGACUCCUACGGGAGGCAGCAGUGGGGAAUAUUGCACAAUGGGCGCAAGCCUGAUGCAGCCAUGCCGCGUGUAUGAAGAAGGCCUUCGGGUUGUAAAGUACUUUUAGCGGGGAAGCGUUACCCGCAGAAGAAGCACCGGCUAACUCCGUGCCAGCCGCCGCGGUAAUAC
rnacentral:rRNA from 1 species